rnacentral:rRNA from 1 species
GACGAACGCUGGCGGCGUGCUUAACACAUGCAAGUCGAACGGAAAGGCCCUGCUUUUGUGGGGUGCUCGAGUGGCGAACGGGUGAGUAACACGUGAGUAACCUGCCCUUGACUUUGGGAUAACUUCAGGAAACUGGGGCUAAUACCGGAUAGGAGCUCCUGCUGCAUGGUGGGGGUUGGAAAGUUUCGGCGGUUGGGGAUGGACUCGCGGCUUAUCAGCUUGUUGGUGGGGUAGUGGCUUACCAAGGCUUUGACGGGUAGCCGGCCUGAGAGGGUGACCGGCCACAUUGGGACUGAGAUACGGCUCAGCCUCCUACGGGAGGCAGCAGUGGGGAAUAUUGCACAAUGGGCGGAAGCCUGAUGCAGCAACGCCGCGUGCGGGAUGACGGCCUUCGGGUUGUAAACCGCUUUCGCCUGUGACGAAGCGUGAGUGACGGUAAUGGGUAAAGAAGCACCGGCUAACUACGUG